AGUCGAGAAUUUUUCACAAUGGGGGAAACCCUGAUGGAGCGACGCCGCGUGGGGGAUGAAUGGCUUCGGCCCGUAAACCCCUGUCAUUCGCGAACAAAUUGGUUCACUUAAUACCUGAACCAUUGAUAGUAGCGGAAGAGGAAGGGACGGCUAACUCUGUGCCAGCAGCCGCGGUAAUACAGAGGUCCCAAGCGUUGUUCGGAUUCACUGGGCGUAAAGGGUGCGUAGGCGGUCGGGUAAGUCUGAUGUGAAAUCUCACAGCUUAACUGUGAAACUGCAUUGGAUACUAUUCGGCUUGAGAGUUGGAGGGGGGACUGGAAUUCUUGGUGUAGCAGUGAAAUGCGUAGAUAUCAAGAGGAACACCAGUGGCGAAGGCGAGUCCCUGGACAACUUCUGACGCUGAGGCACGAAAGCUAGGGGAGCAAA
rnacentral:rRNA from 1 species